CUGAGACUAAGCCAUGCAUGUCUAAGUAUAAACAAAUUUGUACUGUAAAACUGCGGACGGCUCAUUAAAUCAGUUACAAUCUACUUGAUCGUAUAUUCAAAGAAUUAAUCGGGUAACCCUAGUAAUUCUAGAGCUAAUACGUGCAAAAAGCUCCGACCUCUUCUUUUAGGGGAAAGAGUGUAUUUAUUAGGUAACUUAAAACCAAUCAGCCCAAAAGGCUGUUUUGUUGAUGAUUCAUAAUAACUUUGCAAAAUCGCGGGCCAAUGUCUGCGAUGAUACAAACGAGUUUCUGACCUAUCAACUUUAGAUGGCAGGAUAGGGGCUUGCCAUGGUGACAACGGGUGACGGGGAAUUAGGGUUCGAUUCCGGAGAGGGAGCAUGAGAAAUGGCUACUAUUUCUAAGGAAAGCAGCAGGCGCGUAAAUUAUUCAAUGGGAAUAUCUUCCCGAAAUAGUAGACAAAAAAUACUAAAUGUAUUGAAUUUUAUUCAGUACAAUUGGAAUGGAACAAUCCAAAACCCUUAUU
rnacentral:rRNA from 1 species